AGUGAACGCUGGCGGUAGGCCUAACACAUGCAAGUCGAACGGCAGCACGGUAAGAGCUUGCUCUUACGGGUGGCGAGUGGCGGACGGGUGAGGAAUACAUCGGAAUCUACUUUUUCGUGGGGGAUAACGUAGGGAAACUUACGCUAAUACCGCAUACGACCUACGGGUGAAAGCAGGGGAUCUUCGGACCUUGCGCGAUUGAAUGAGCCGAUGUCGGAUUAGCUAGUUGGCGGGGUAAAGGCCAACCAAGGCGACGAUCCGUAGCUGGUCUGAGAGGAUGAUCAGCCACACUGGAACUGAGACACGGUCCAGACUCCUACGGGAGGCAGCAGUGGGGAAUAUUGGACAAUGGGCGCAAGCCUGAUCCAGCCAUACCGCGUGGGUGAAGAAGGCCUUCGGGUUGUAAAGCCCUUUUGUUGGGAAAGAAAAGCAGCAGGUUAAUACCCCGCUGUUCUGACGGUACCCAAAGAAUAAGCACCGGCUAACUUCGUG
rnacentral:rRNA from 1 species